GACGAACGCUGGCGGCGUGCCUAAUACAUGCAAGUAGAACGCACAGUUUAUACCGUAGCUUGCUACACCAUAAACUGUGAGUUGCGAACGGGUGAGUAACGCGUAGGUAACCUGCCUGGUAGCGGGGGAUAACUAUUGGAAACGAUAGCUAAUACCGCAUAAUAUUGAUUAUUGCAUGAUAAUUGAUUGAAAGAUGCUAUUGCAUCACUACCAGAUGGACCUGCGUUGUAUUAGCUAGUAGGUGAGGUAACGGCUCACCUAGGCGACGAUACAUAGCCGACCUGAGAGGGUGAUCGGCCACACUGGGACUGAGACACGGCCCAGACUCCUACGGGAGGCAGCAGUAGGGAAUCUUCGGCAAUGGACGAAAGUCUGACCGAGCAACGCCGCGUGAGUGAAGAAGGUUUUCGGAUCGUAAAGCUCUGUUGUAAGAGAAGAACGGGUGCGAGAGUGGAAAGUUCACACUGUGACGGUAUCUUACCAGAAAGAGACGGCUAACUACGUG
rnacentral:rRNA from 1 species